CUGGACUCGGUGCUGCAUGAAGUCCGGAGCUUUCUGCUCGAGUUUGUCUGAGCCGCCGCCGCUGCUUUUGUGUCGAGUUGUCCACAGUUCAACGGCUUCGUGUCCAUACCUUUUUACUCGACAGAAGCGGAGUCGACUCCACACACAUUUCUUAAAUGAAACCGCCUUAGGAUCGGACAAAGCCUCGAGUCCACGUCAUCGCGAUACGCCUCUGAAGAACUACAGUACCCAACAUGCAACGCCACGCAUUUCCUUCAGUACUGUUAAAGCAGGGACAGGGAAGCUGGUGAGAGUUGAUGGGAAGAUGGAUGGAGCCAAAUACAGUGUAAAUAAAACCUGUUAGAGUCUGCGAGACUUGAGACUGUUGCCAGAGGUUUACCUUCACAGACACCCUCCAUCCAAUCUGACUGAGCUUGAGCUAUUUUCCAAAUAAGGAUAGGAGUAAAAAUUUAACUCUCUAAAUGUUCAAAGCUGGUAAAAGACUUUCAGCAGUAACUGCAGCUAAAGGUGGUUCUACAAAGUGACAAAUGCUAACUACUAAGCCACAGUGUCGCUUAUAUACAGAUGCAUCUCAAUAAAUUAGAAAAAGUUGAUUUGUUUCUAUAAUUCAAUUUAAAAAGCAAGGUGCAUAUAUUACAUAGAUUUAUUACACACAGACUGAUAUAUUUCAAGUGUUUAUUUCUAUAUAAUUUUGAUGAUUAUAAAAUAUAAUUAUAUGGAAGCCCAGGUUUUGAUAGUGACCUUCAGCUCUUCUGGAUCUAGUUUGUUAGUCUAGUGUCUAAAAUCUCCCUUUUUAUCAUACCCCAUAGAAUCUAUAGGGUUUAGUACAGGAGAGUUUUCUGGCCAAUCAAGCAAAGUGAUACCAUGGUCCUUAAACCAGUUAUUAGUACUUUUGGCAGUGUGAGCAGGUGCCAAGUCCAGCUGAAAAAUGAAAUCAACAUCUCCAUAAAGCUGGUCAACAGAGGCAAGCAUGAAGUGCUCUAAAACGUUCUGGUACAUGGCUGUGUUGACCUUGGACCUGAUAAAACACAUGGACCAACACCAUGGACCAUUCAAAACCAGGACUUUGGCUUAAAACAAGGAAUGAGACAGUUGUAGUCCAUGUCCUGGAUACAUCUGUGCGUGGUGCCUCUUGAAGCACUGACUCCAGCUGCAGUCCACACCUGGUGAAUCUCCCCCAUAUUCUUAAAUGGGCUUUGUUUCCCAAAUUUUUUCAACUGUGAUUAUCCCUGUUGCUUGUGCACCUUUUUCAACCACAAGUAUUCCUUCCAUUUAACCAUUUGUGUGCAACCCUCCAUGUACAGUACAGAGUUUUUAUUCUUAUCUUAAGAAUUAUUUUCUUCCAGAUAGCUGUCAAAUCAGCAGUCUUUUUCAUCAUGAUUAUGGUUAUGUAGCCUACUGAACCAGACUAAGAGACCAUUUAAAAGCUCAGGAAGCCUCAAAAGAUGUUAGGAAUUACUUAGCUGAUUAGAGCAUGACACCAUCUGUAUCCAAUAUUGAACUUUUUUACAAAAUUCUAAUUUUCCAGUUUCAUUAGCUGAAAGCCAUAAUCAUCAAAAUCAAAUAAAAAACUUAAAAUAUAUCUGUCUGUGUGUAAUGAAUCUAUAUGCGAGUUUCAUUUUUUAAUUGAAUUACUGAAAUACAUCAACUUUUUAAUAUUUUAAUUUAUUGAGAUGCACCUGUGUGGUUAUAUUAUAUACACAUACAUACAGACAGACAUGAAAAUGUAAACAUUUAUUUACUGAUAUUUACAUCUAAAUGUGUUCAACAUUACUCUGCAUCAGACCUCUGUUGAAGGAUUAUAUACAAAAGGCCUGGAGGAGGAAUCUCAUUCCAGUAGCAUUCUGAA